AUCUUGAGUGUCGGUGUUGCUGAGAAUCCAAACACCAACCAGAUCAUUAUUGGUCCUUUUUUUUUUUGUUCUACAGGCAAUGAAGGCACAGUGGAGCUGUUUCACCUGCUAUUAAGGAGAGUGUAAUUUGGUUGUAAAGUUACCAUAGUAACAUAGCGAAAGAAGAGACAGGGUAGGUGGAGAGACGUAGUGUGUGCACAGGAUUACUGCUGAAUAAGCCUCCAGGGAGGGGAAACCUUGAAGGUGAGUUUGUUUAUAAGGGCCUGUAAAAAGAAGGAACCCCAUCUGUGGAGCAGGAUUCCUUUAUGCAGCUGUUCUUAAUCAGGAAUUUGUCAUGUUUGUCUUACAUGUAAACAUGCUGCACUAACAUUUGCCACUCAGCAAUUACAGUAGAAACAUUUGAGAGGCCUCAACAUUUCACUUCACUUUAUCUGUUCUAUCUGAGAGUCUGGAUGACUACUUUUUCAGUUUUGAACCACUAGACCACAAGACUAAGUGAUUGACAGAAGGUUGUUGGAAUAAUAACAGAUGCUGUAUUCCUGUUAGAGUUAAUGUGUAAAGCCUUUAACACAUAUAGCCUGUUGUUUGAUAAGUUUGAGCCAUUAAUGUGACUAUUGUCCAUAGUAAAUUUCUAUUUCCACUUUGAUUAAGGUGUUUUAUUUUCUAUGUUGAAAAUAGGAUAAGAGUGACAGUAACAGCAGGGGGAGGUAAAGAUGCUGUUCGAUAAGAAACCAAACCAGCGAAAGUGUGUGUGAGUGUGACUUGAACGGUACUAAAAUAGAACUGUUACAUUAUCGCAGCAGUAAUAUUAAAACAGACUGUAAGUAGAGGUAAUACGGCCUUUUUUUCUACAUAAAAAAAGGAUUUGCUUCUGGUAUUUAAAAGUAUAUUUUGCUGAUCAAACUAACAUGAACUUAGAGUCUCAAAAGUAGAACUUUCGCCCGCCUGAAGUACUUGUGGUAGUUUGACUUGAGAAGCUGAACAUUUUCCCACCGCAGAGUUAAAAUUAACUGUUCGAUCAGCAGUUGUUUAUUUGAAGCACUUUUACAGGAAACUUCAGGUUUCAGCUCUUGUGUCGGCCAGUUCCAUGAUUUCAACAAAAAGGGAAGUUCACUGUUGCGAGUGCUGGAGAGAACUUCUUGACUUCAUACACGAAACAGACCUUGACCCACAUCGCAGGAGCUUUGAUGAUCAUGUCUGUCAACAACACUUGUGUCACUGGAAAUGGCACAACGUCAUGUUCUCCCCGCGGCACCUCUGCAGGUCUGGCUUCAGGUCUGACCAUCUUCUUCUUACUGCUCGUGGUCGCAGCUUGUUUAAUCGUGUGGAAAUACCAGAGCACAAUCAGGUAUACGUUUCAGUCCUGGCAAAGAAGAAGUGUGAAGAAGGAAGAAUAUACUGAGACACCACAAGCUGAUCCGCGUCCGAAUAGCUAUGUAAGCACAGAACAGAUGACAGGACAGACCCCGAUCUAUGAAAACCUGAUGACUACAAGCAACAAGCAGCCAGCAAAACCGAGAAGGUCGCCCAGAGGGCCCGAGGAGGAUUUGUACCUGCAGUGUGACGUACCAGAUGAUGUAAUCUACAGCAACGAUCCGGCCUGUAACCUCUCCCUCCUCCCGGACACCCCAGAAGAAGACGUGUAUAUUGUACCAGAUGCUUUAUAGGACAAAUCUCUAUUCAAAUACUAUCACUCCGUUGACUGAGAGGAUUAAAUGUACAUUUUAACAAGGUGACCAUGUUGCCUUAUAAUAAUGGAGUGACUGUAGUGGCUUCAGUACAACAAUACACAAUGUUUUAUGAUGUCAUUGUUGAACAUUAGAUGUACAGUUAGGUGAAGUGGAUUAGUAUUAUUGGUGUAGAUGUUCUUUUAAGUUUGUUUUUCAGCUUUCAUUGCCAUGGCUUUUGGCACAUUGCGUUAUUACUCCAAAUAUGUCAUCAUUCUGCUGCCGGUUUUUGUAAUCACAAAGUUUGCAUGUGGCCCUCUGCUAGAAACAUUUCUGCAGCAUGUAAAGUUAUUAUUACCUGUGUGGGUUAAAAUAAAUUGAAAGAAAACAUGUUUUAAACAGGGUUGCAUGGUGUUAGCAGCUGAUGCCUCCCAGCGAGAAGGUUCCCACUGUGACAAAGACAUAUUGGUUAAAUGAUGACUCCAAAUCGGAGAAUGUGAGUGUGGCUGGUUGACAGUUGACGGCUUGGAGAACAGUCUAGGGUGUACGCUGCUUCUCGCCCAAUGGCAGCUGUUAUCGGCACCAACCCCACUCAACCCCCGAACGGGAAAAAGUGGCAUAGGUAAAUAUAGAUGGAUGUUAUAUAGACAAAAAGGGGAGAGACCUUUAUUAUUAUAGCUAAAUGAUUUAAAAAGUCAACAUGUUUCAGCCAAAGAGGUCUUCAUCAGGGCUGGCAAACAACUUUUUAAAGAGAACAUGUUUUUAUCACACAAACAAAAAACCUUAGAAGGGGUCUCACAGUAUGUAAAUAUGAAAAUAUACUUCACAUCUGUGAAUAGAUGGAUAUUUGGACUAAUGCAGAGUUUGUGUCGGAGUCUUUAUGUUUUCUUAAUAGUAAUAGUAAUACUUCGAAAGUGAUCAUUUAUUGAUUAUCUCUACAUGAUUAAUCAAUAUUUUAACGAUAGUCGGCCUAACAAUCCGCAGAUGCAUCACUGUCUUAUGAUUCAUUGAACUAACUUUGAUUGCACACUGAAACGUAUUUGCUGUCUUUGUUCACCAUUAGACUGUUCUAUAUUUCAUUAUCAGCUGCCACAAUGAAAAAAUAAUAAUUUAACAAAAUAUAAGCCAUUAACAAUAUCAACUAAACAUACUAAAUAGUCUUUGCUGAUUUAUUUAAUUUAAACUAUGUCGUUCUUAAAGUGUCUGUUCUGUCUUACAGUAUUUAAAGCUUUUCUGAUAAGAAAUGUAACAUUAAAAACAUGUUCCCUGUUCAGUUUCCAUAAAGUACUGUAAAUACAAAGAUGAUGACAACAAAAUUCUCAUUUCUGAAAUAUAGUGUGCUAAAAAACUACUAAGUUAUGGCACGAAAACAUGUGUUAAAAAGCAACACUUGCAUAAAAAUGGCACACGUAAGUGCCAUUUAACUUGUUUGUGGUUUGUCAGUUUUUGAGGAGAGGCAGACGGAGAGGAUGUAAAAAUCUUUGUCAAGUUUAGCUCUUUAAAUCUGUCUUUUACCCUUAUAGAUCUAACCUGUGUCUAAAAAGACAGACUUUGAGGUUAUGUUGCGCUUGUAUGGAUAAUUGUAAAUUAUGGUUCCUAUUAAAGUUGAUUUUGUUUUCCUGUAAA